CAUCUGACUUCGGGAGACCAGGUACACUUUGUAGAACUCCUCCUUUCCCCCCGAGGAAGCGUCUGCCCUUGGACAAACAAUGUCCAUCUUGUCCCCUAUUUGAGGAUACAGGACUAGACCCUGGCUUUGACUAAAUCUUGGAUGGACUCCAGAGUGGCGGCACUACAGCAGCGAAUGAUGGCCAGCAGGAUCCCGGCACCGCAGCUCCAUGUGCUUCUCCCCAUCACAGGCAGCUACAUGGCUUGACCUGCAACAAAAAUUUGGAUAUUGUUUAAAAGAAGGAGAAAAACGUUAUUUAAGUGGAAAUCACCAGCCCCCAGUCCAGGGUGUACACCGACCCUUGCCUGUUGUCAGCUGGGAUAGGCUUCAGCUCCCCCGCGACCCUGACGGAGAAAGCGGUAUAGAAAAUGGAUGGAUGGAUGACCAGACCCUCAUAAGUCAUCCCUCUGACUUUAGACCUGAAGAGAAAAAAUAGUUUGCAUCAGGCUCUGUUCACAAGUUUCAUUCCUCUUAAGGUCCAAUGAUCCAGUACUUUUAUAAUAGUAAAAGUCAUCCAAAAGACGGGAUAUGUCUGUCUAUGUAUUGCAAUGUAUUAUCUUUUUCUUUUUCAAAUUUUCUUUAUCUUCUUUGACUCCUUUCAGCCACUGCACCACUUCGUUUCACUUAUUAUUUUGUACCACAUCAAUAGUAACAGAAAUUAGUAUAUACUGUGCAUAGGGUGAGGGAUGGGGGCUUGAGGAGAUGGAAUAUAGAGGCCUCUUUAUUGAUGUGUUUUAAAGAAAAACAUGGUAACGUUUUCUCACCAUGUACAAUGUAACUUAUGUAAGUUAUAACAAUAAUGAUGAAAGUAAUAAUAUACACAAUAUCCAUGACUAUAUUUGCACAGUCAUUCAACAUGUAUGUACCUAAUACGCUUUGAAAUUUUGACAAGGUUUUAUCACAUAGGUUUCAAGGAAUUUAAUUGUCAUAACUUUUCAGCUGCUUCUGUUUCCGACUUUUGGACUUUCAGCUUCUGCAUGUUUGGUAUUAGUCCAAAAUAAGUAAAGCCAGUUAAAUAUUUUGUUUGUUUUUUCUCCUUUGAGUUUGGUCCUUAGCCACCAACCAUCAUAGCCUUUUUAUCUAUUAAGCCAAAUGCCAAGACAGAUUCAGAGGACAGCAUUUAUUUCAAAAUCCAUGUGUAUCCAAAAUGUGUGACCCUCUCAAAAAUAUGGAACGGCCUUUAUCAAUGUGGAUUUAAAAUAGACAGUAUAGACAGUAUUUUUUUUUUGCUGUGGAUGAUUAAAACAAACAUAAACAAACUUGUGACCUUAACAGCAUGUGAACCCUUCAAUCAGAUAGUCCAGCUUCUCCCACACAUCAGUAUAAAAGUAUAGUGACAAGCAGUAAAAUCAGUAAGAAAUGUAAUUGCUUCACACUGAAGCAUGUAACUAUAAACUGGUAACCAACCCUGCCAUUCUGAAAAUUUGUUCUUUGUCAAUGUGUGCUUCUGUGAAAUUAUGUUGUGUAUGAAAUACACAUCCUAUUUCCAUUCCAGAUUAAAUAUUUAGUCACAUUUUAAUUUUUUGAUCAAUAGUCAUAUCUAUGGAUCAAAAGUGACACUUACCCCAAAAUGGAUACAAAUAAACAAUGAAAUUGCACUUAUGUUUUUGUAAAUAAGUAAAUUAAUAAAUGAACAAAGACAAGUUGACCACAAUGAUAAAGAAAAGAAAAGAUUCUGUGUGCAUUCAUACUGUUUGAAUUAGCUUCAAAGUGAGUGAUUAACAAAAUGCUCUUCAUAAAAUCUGCUUAAAAGUUCCCCUUUUAGGACACAGUAGACAGACAUCUGAAAAAGAUAUAUUUCAGUACUAAUCAAAUGUCAUCAAUGUGUCUGAAGUGACAAU